rnacentral:tRNA from 1 species
UCCAUCGGCUGGGAAUCGAACCCGGUCCGCCCGCGUGGCAGGCGAGCAUUCUACCACUGAACCACCGAUGC